GUGCUCUUUGAUCAGACCAAGUGACAUCACCCACAUGCUGAGUGGGAAGUGUACAGACCCAUCCUAUAGGAGCUCCACCAGCAGCUCUGAGGAGGAAGUUAUAUGUUCAGAAGGGACAUUCAUGAAGAGACCUUUCUUUAAAAAAACAACAACAACAACAACAAAAAAACCAACAACAACAACAACAAAAAACAAGAAGAAGAAGAAGAAGAAGAAAAAUAAAACAUUAACAUUUGACUUGGGAAGAAGCCAGUGUCAACAUGACCGAUGAUGGGAACACUGAUGAUGUGCUGGGUGCGUCUCCCAAAUUCUGGAACAAGUAGAAGCCUGCUAAAUGGAGCUGACAAAAGAGCCUGACAAAAGAGCUCACCUAGCAAGAAAACUCACUCCAGGGAAUUAGGAAAAAACAACAACAUAACUUGUCAGCUGAUCAUAUUCUCUUGUGUCUGCACAGAUUUCAAAUUGAAGUAGUACCAAAAUUUGCUGUUGCAAGUGAACAUUCUGGGUAUUCCUGAUAUGAAAAAGCAUGAGGAUGUUUAUUUUCCUCAGUAACAUUCCAAGCAAUUCUUUGUUCUCUUU
rnacentral:lncRNA from 1 species